rnacentral:rRNA from 1 species
GACGAACGCUGGCGGCGUGCCUAAUACAUGCAAGUAGAACGCAGUUGCGAACGGGUGAGUAACGCGUAGGUAACUGCCUGAUAGCGGGGGAUAACUAUUGGAAACGAUAGCUAAUACCGCAUACUACCCGAUGGACCUGCGUUGUAUUAGCGAGUUGGUGAGGUAACGGCGCACACAGGCAACGAUACAUAGCCGACCUGAGAGGGUGAUCGGCCACACUGGGACCGAGACACGGCCCCGAAUCCUACGGGAGGCAGCAGUAAGGAAGCUUCGGAAAUUGGGGGAACCCUGACCGAUGAACGCCGCGUUAAGGAAGAAGGUUUUCGGAUCGUAAAGCUCUGUUGUUAAGGAAGCGGUACUUAACCAGAAAGGGACGGCUAACUACGUGCCAGCAGCCGCGGUAAUAC